CUGGGAGCGUCCCCUGGGCUGCAGCUGCUGCCCAAGCCGCGUGAGUGUGUCUGUUAUUGCUCUGACUUUGAACUUUAUGAGGCCCCACGCGCAGUAAAACCCUGAGGUGGGCAGCAUGACUCAGGCUGUGGCGCCUGGGCCAGGAGUCGGAGCUGCAGAAGACAGGGCUGGCAAAGCCUCCAGAAAUUUGCAGUGAGGAAGGGGAGCAGGGAGGCCAGUUCCCCAGCCGUGCUCAGAUGUCUCCGCCGGCCAGGGGAAGGCUUUUGCACUGUCACUGCCUCUGAGGCACCCAGGAGCUCCCCCACCCAGGAGCUCCGCCGGCUCCAUGAUGAGAGGACAAGGGGGCUGGCCCUGCCCAGUGCCUGACUCAGCUCCGCACCCCUUGAGGCUGUGCCCAGGCUCCUACCUGCUCAACAUCCUGCUGGGGGAGAAGAAAGUGCCUCCGGCCCCGGCACACCUGCACCCGGGGACAAGAGGUAUCUUCAGUUUCAAAGUGGCCAAGUUGGGUAGCAGUGUCCCCUGAAAGGUCGCUGCAGGGGCCAGGAACGAGGAAGCCCACACAGAAAAAAACAAGAUGGCCCUGACACCCGGACCCCUGAUACCAUCAAACCGAAACUGAAGCCAUAGACAGGAGAAAAACAACUCGGCUCCACGAAAAACAACUUUGUUCCGCCUAAACCUGUCCCCGUCCCGCCGCCACCCCCUCCCGGCCAACCCAGUUUUCCUGCCUCACCCUAUGCAAGGACAUCUCCCCCCACAACGCAGGACUUCUCUGACCCCCAGGGGGGUCUGCAAAUCUCGCCCAGGGGCACAAUAAAG